UACAGAGGUCCCGAGCGUUGUUCGGAUUCAUUGGGCGUAAAGGGUGCGUAGGCGGCGUGGUAAGUCUGAUGUGAAAUCCUGGGGCUCAACCCCAGAACUGCAUUGGAUACUGCCAUGCUAGAGUACUGGAGAGGAAACUGGAAUUUACGGUGUAGCAGUGAAAUGCGUAGAGAUCGUAAGGAAGACCAGUGGCGAAGGCGAGUUUCUGGACAGUAACUGACACUGAGGCACGAAGGCCAGGGGAGCAAACGGG
rnacentral:rRNA from 1 species